rnacentral:lncRNA from 1 species
GCAAGUUUUGCUUCUUGAGAUAGGCAAGAUAGCACUUUUGCAAUUUUUGUUUGGCAAGCUUGUGAUGUUCAAGAUAACAAGCUCUUUCUUCUCUUUUGAGAAGUGUCAUUUUUGCUUUAUUUGCAAAGUGCAAGCUAGCAAAAUGCCAAACUAGCAAGAGAUAAUGUUUUACAUGAGGCAAGCAAACAAUUUGGCAAGUGUUACAUUUGCAUCUUCUCUUUAGAUGUGCAAGAAAAUAAAUAAGUUUUUGCAUUUUCUUGACAUUUCAAGCUAGCAAUUAUCGGUGAUGUUCAAGAUAGCAAUUUCUUCUCUUUUGUAAUUUUUGCCUUUUUCUUGAAUUGUGCUAGCAAUCUAUCUCCCCCUUUGUCAUUGUCAAAAAGAAGGGAAAAACCCUUUACAUCAAUUUCUAAAUCAUGACAAAGGUAAGUAAUCAUUCUUAUUUGUGCAUCAUUAUAGUUU